rnacentral:tRNA from 1 species
GCCCCCGUAGCUCAGGGGAUAGAGCGACGGCCUCCGGAGCCGGGUGCGCAGGUUCGAAUCCUGCCGGGGGCACCU